GACGAACGCUGGCGGCGUGCUUAACACAUGCAAGUCGAACGGAAAGGCCCUGCUUUUGUGGGGUGCUCGAGUGGCGAACGGGUGAGUAACACGUGAGUAACCUGUCCUUGACUUUGGGAUAACUUCAGGAAACUGGGGCUAAUACCGGAUAGGAGCUCCUGCUGCAUGGUGGGGGUUGGAAAGUUUCGGCGGUUGGGGAUGGACUCGCGGCUUAUCAGCUUGUUGGUUUGGUAGUGGCAUACCAAGGCUUUGACGGGUAGCCGGCCUGGGCGGGUGACCGGCCACACUAGGCCUGAGAUACGGCCCAGACUAGUCCGGGAGGCAGCAGUGGAGAAUAUUGCACAAUGGGCGGAAGCCUGAUGCAGCAACGCCGCGUGCGGGAUGACGGGAUUCGGGUUGUAUUCCGCUUUCGCCUGUGACGAGGCGUGAGUGACGGUAAUGGGUAAAGAAGCACCGGCUAACUACGUG
rnacentral:rRNA from 1 species